UGGCUCCAUUUACAGACACAGACAGCGAUGACAGAAAUGGUCUUGGGAGUGAGGAGGGGACAGUGUACACACAGCUUGGUGCAACUGCUGCCAAGGGGGAGAUGGGGAUCUGCUUCUUAUUGGUUCCAGCCUGGACAAGCAACUGAAAGCCUGCCCCCCCCCUCCCCUGGCAACUCUGGCUGGAGAGCCACUGCCAGGACAGGGGCACUCGCAGGAUGUCCAGUACAGCCUUCUGAAGCCCUGACACGGGUGGGCUGAGCUGCAGGUGCUGAAGGAGCUCCACCUCCUUCUUCAGGUCACUGCUGCUGCAAGAUUCCCUCAUGCAAGCCUGGGAACAGACAGGGUCCACUUCCUCUGCUGGAAGCUGAGGUUUUCCUCGGUGACUUGGAUGAUCUUGUCUAUCAGCUGGCCAGAGGACAGAGAGGAAG